UACGGGGGGGGCAAGCGUUGUUCGGAAUUACUGGGCGUAAAGGGCGUGUAGGCGGCCAACUAAGUCCGACGUGAAAUCCCCAGGCUUAACCUGGGAACUGCGUCGGAUACUGGAUGGCUUGAAUCCGGGAGAGGGAUGCAGAAUUCCAGGUGUAGCGGUGAAAUGCGUAGAUAUCUGGAGGAAUACCGGUGGCGAAGGCGGCAUCCUGGACCGACACUGACGCUGAGGAGCGAAAGCCAGGGGAGCAAACGGG
rnacentral:rRNA from 1 species